UUUAACAACGGAUCUCUUGGUUCUGGCAUCGAUGAAGAACGCAGCGAAAUGCGAUAAGUAAUGUGAAUUGCAGAAUUCAGUGAAUCAUCGAAUCUUUGAACGCACAUUGCGCCCCUUGGUAUUCCGAGGGGCAUGCCUGUUCGAGCGUCAUUUCACCACUCAAGCCUGGCUUGGUAUUGGGCGCC
rnacentral:rRNA from 1 species